GUGUAACAGGAAGCUGAAAUCUGGGAGUGAAUAGCCAGCGGAGGAAGAUGAUUUACAGAAAGUGGUCCCUCCUUACCGGACCGGCUGCUAUUGUCGGCGGCAUCGUUGGCACAGUCGUCGCCGCUAAUCUCGUCAUCGAUAAUCCAUUCCUUAAAGGAGAGAAAAGAAGCCCUGAUGAUCAACAUGCAACGAAGUAGGAGAAACGAUGUCGAAAGGAGUUUACACUCGGGAUGUCUUCUAAUCUUUGUUUUGUGAUCUCUUUGUAUGUGUUUUUGCGAGAGUUUCACUCCUUAGUGAAUAAGUACUAGAUUCUGAACGGAGUCUGGGGUAUGAACCCUAGCCUAGAUGACUGUAUCUACUGAUGUUUUGCUUACAGAAGUUUAAGAUGACCGACUUUUCCUUUCAGAAAAAACAGAUACCAUGUGGUUUUAAGUUUUCCAUUACCUCUACAAAAUAGCAUCGUCAUUCUAUUUAUCAAAGUUCGCUUAUGGGUUAUUAUGCCUUGUCAGAUAUAGGGUAUAGACUCUUUAGUUAGAAAUGGGUGGAGCAGCAAUCCUGAUCCCAACUAUUUCUUAUUUCUAUCUUGAGAAAAGUAAAUCAUAAAAGUACAGUCAUUCUUCCAAUUGAAAAUAAUAUAAAUGACUGUAAUCGGAUAUUUGACUGCUGAAAGUUAAAAUCUUUUUCUUAUUUUUAGUUUCGAAGAAAAAUGUAUGAUGAAAAAAUUAGAAUAUUGGCGUUGUAAAAAAGUGGUGGGUUAGAAUUGUUGCGCAGGAAGACAAUCCAACUGCCUUCGAGAUGGCCUACAAUUUGUGUUUGAAAGUUGGACACUUUUGUGCAACUGUUUUGAUCCUUGAACAAUGAAAUGUUGAAGAUAAAUGAUUAAGCAAAAAUGCCAUGCUUUAUAUUAUAAUGACAACUAUUUUCUUGUGGUGCCAUUAAUAAAAUUACAAGAAUUACUGGUUGAAAUUUCAGUUUGCAAACAAGGCGAAGGAAAAUGUAUGAAUGGCCUGCUUGCUACCAAACGAAACCUUUCUUGUAUUUCCUCCGAUGAACACAAACCCCACUGGUCAUAUUUUGCCAUAAAAUACAUUGCAGCAGGUAGCGUCACUUGCAGAUUAUCAAAGCUGUGCUUCCUACCAGCUUCAGCCAUCCAAACACACUGUUGAGCUUCAAAAUUAUCCGUCAUUGACAAGCAUUUCCAUUAACAGUUCGUUCCAUGAGUCGAUCGGUCCCGGCGAGCACCAAUGCAAACAAUCAUUCUGAACUUCAGCAUUCCCAUCCCUUGCAAAUGGUUGGUACUGCCGGUACGGUCCUGGGUGUCCAUCUGGCCUUAAGAGUGAGAGGAAAGUUGUGUCCAGAAGUUUCAAAGUUGCACCAUGGUUGAGUCCCUGGGAUGCAGUAUUCUGAAAUUCCUCAAGCUCAAUAUCACGCAUGGUGGAAUCUGCAUCGCUGGGAUCAAUCUGAUUUUGCUUGAAGGGAACUGUUCUAUUGCAGUACCCUCCACUAAACCAUUCUCCAUUCUCAAAGUGGUCUGGUGUGGUGGUUCUGAAGAAAACCAUAGCACUGUGGGAAGAGUUUUUGAUGAAGUCAAAAACCAGUCUUAGUGCUUUCCGUCUUCAGAAACCAUUUGCCUCCGGCGAUUACAACAUAAUCAAAAUCCUCGUACUUGCUGGUCCAUUUGUUGUCAAGGUGAUCAAGAUAAAGCUGUAUUUCUGAGGAGGAGACUCCAUUUAUGUCCUCAAAUAUGGCUGAUUUUAUAAGGAAAGGGGUCCAUAUUAAUGAGAGUGUGAAGUUGUGAGUGGGGAACUUCCAUAUCUUGGAUCUGUAUUCCUCAUCGUGGUAGAUCUCAAGAGCUGGCUCCACCUGCAGAAUAUAGCGAAUGAAAUUUGGCCAUUUUCUCAAUUUGUAGGACCAUAUUAGCAGCAAACAGAAGACUAUGCACAGGGCUGCAAAUAGGGAGGCUAGGUUUGUAUGUGGGGAUAAAUGUAAUGACUAUCAUAAUGGA